ensembl:rRNA 5S_rRNA 5S ribosomal RNA
AUCAAUGGCCAUACCCCUCUGAAAGUACCUGAUCUUGUCUGAUCUUGGAAGCUAAGCUAGGCCUGACUACUAUGGGGAUAGGAGACUGCCCAGGAAUACCAGGUCCCGUAGGCU